ACAAAACAAAACCACAAUAAAGAAUUAAAACAAUUUCUUUAUGAAAAUAAUUCAUCAUGACUGAAGAUAAUAAUAUAUGAGACCCAUGUAUGAACACUAGAUGGUGAUAAAACUCAAUUGACAACAUAGCUUCCACUACCUCCAAAAACCAUAUUGACAACUCCCUCUUUUUAGAAUAGUGUUAGGGUAUGUUUUGUAAAUGUGGGUGCAGUUAGACCACACCCUGCCCUGAGGAAAGCAGGCAAAUCCUGUGAAUACACCCUUUGAGCUUCAAAGUCAAUAGAAGAAACAAUGAUGGUGUCCAGCUUUAUGAAAACAUAUGCUGCAGAAAGCUGAACAGAAAACACAUGCAUUUUUAGGUUGCAAGCUAUUGUUAUUAAAAGUAAAUAUUCACAUUGACAAAUGACAAAGUGGAAAACUACUAUAAAUUCAAAAGUACUGCAAAUAGGAAAUUGUCUCAGUGUCUUUACUAAGAGUUUCUUUAUAAAGACCGUCUUCCAGUCUUUCAGUAAACAUCAACUAACACUGUUCUCUGUAUUUCUGUCUUAACAUCCAAUUUGUGUUUCCUAAAUCCAAGGUCAUUCAAGUAAAUGGCAGGAUAUUUAGAGAGACGAUGUUGUUCUUUUCAAGUAAAUUGAAUAAUGGUCCACCUUUUUGAUAUGUCAGACGAGGGGAGAUUUUGAAGGUGAACCCACUACUGAGCUAAAGUAAGAUCAUGCAUUUGCCAAAAACAUCUUCCAUAUCUCAACAUUCUUAAGAAAAUAUUUUCUAGGUUGAUGAGACAAAAGUGGAACUUCUUGCAGUGGGUGCAUCCUUUGACAUCUGGUGUAUAGCUAACAAUAUUAGCUAUUAGCUGCUUGGGUCCUGCAGGACUUUAAUGACAAGUCGUAUCUGUUAAGCCAUGAAUUGUACUCUCUCCUAAAAUAUCCCAAAGGAGCUUGUGUGGUGAUUAGAAACACACCAGUAAGUCUAUUUCUGAUUUAAGGGCUUUGAAGUGACCUAGCCAAAUUCUAGACUUGUAUCUUUUGGGUCCUAUCCCAUGACCCUAAACAAGUCUGUCACUUUAGAAAACAUUCCAGUAUGGCAUAAUUAAAAGAAGAGUGGGCCAAAGUUAUUUCACAUCAAUGUAAAAGACUCAUUGCCAGUUAUUAAAAAUUCUUAAUAAAAGUUGUUGCUGCCAAUAAUGGCCCAAUCAGUUAUUAGAUAUCGGGCAUAAUUAUGUUUUCACAUAGAGUCUGUUUAGUUUGAAUUGCUUUUUCAUUUCAUAAGUACGGUACAUUUAUCAUCUGAAAACAUCAUUUUGACCUGAAUCUUUAACUGAUAUUAAAUUGCUUUUUAAUCUUAAAGAUUGUAGGCUUAUGAGAAAGAUGUAAUAAUCAAAUCUAAUGUGUAACCUUGGUUUUCUAGCUUUUAAAGUCCUGUUCAAGACAUAACGUAACAAGUCAAUAAAUAGACUUGUUCUAUGUAAUUGAGGACACACGGGGAUGUGUGCAACACUAUGAGGUAAUAUUAAACCCUCUUAACCUCUCUAUCUGGAAUAGCUUUUCCCCAAUACUCUAGGCUGCACAACACACUGAGCAUUGUAACUUACUGUAUGUUAGUGAAGAGUGGGUUAGAGUUUUUGGCAAAGAUCCGGACAACCAAAUGCAGUGUUCACAUACCCCUGAAGGAAACCACAAGUCCUGAAUACGACCAAAGCCUGUCUGCUGACGCCAGCUCGGUCGGCUGCUGAUUAAACCAUUGGGACUUUGGCAGGAAUCCGACAGCAAAUGGAAAAACUGAGAAGUUCUUCUCCUUCUUUUACAAGAUCACAAACAAGACCAACCACCUCCUAAUGUAAACUGCAACUAUGCCUUCACCACCAUUCAAACUUCAUGACAUAGGGAAAACGUUGACUUAUAUGUCUUAAAAUGGUAAAGGUAUGAGACAGUUCAUGGCUCCUUCUUCAAACUUUGUUCUGUGUCCCACCAGCAGACAACAAAGAGGGGAGGAUCUCGCUUUGAAUUUCCUCUCACCAAGGUUUACAACUUUUUCCAUAUGUGCAAAGAGUUUUCAGGAAGUUUUUCCUAUCCUUUCAAAGAAAAGCAUCAAAAUCAGUUGUGCACACAAGACUGGGAUUACCACACUCUGAAAGUCAACGAGUUCUUUCGUUGUAGCCAUAAAAAAAAAAAAAUACAGACUGGAAUUGAAAAAACGAAGCUGUGCCGUUAUUUUACAGAAUUUCACUUUAGUUGCUCUUUUCUAAAAUGAGAAGUGAUGCUGGGCUGAAGCCAGCACACUGUUUCACAGCCAAGAACAUUGAGCAACAAAUGAAAGCAUAAAUAAUAAAAAAGCAUAGACCCAUUUCCUUAAUGUGGAGACAUAUGUAUAUAAAGACAUGAUGCAAAAUUUUAACUGACUAUUGUUCUGGUAACACUGGUAAGAGGAGAAUAAAUUUUGAAACUGAAUCGUACAGAUAUUGUAAAAGAAAAUCUCCGUAUGUCAUAACAUGCUGUUUUUCAGCUUCAAAACAGUUUGUCAAACUGUUUAAUUUGCUACAGCUGAUGUUUAAAGUAAAAGUAAUCUAAAGCCGUUUACAGUGGAGGGGACAAGGCAAUUACAAAUACAGCUAGUUGGCAGCAGAAUGUAUAUAUUUAUAGACAUAAUUCUCUAGCUACGUUCCUUAGCUACAGAAUUUACAUCAUGACUCGAGCCAACAAUAUGCAUUUGUAUAUAAAGCACAGAAGUGAGAUUUGUUGGAGCAUUUUAGACAGCGAGCCAUGCCAACCUUGACUAUCAUCCGCCAGAUAAGAAAAACCUAAACAACAAAUGCUUUCCCAACGUUGCAUUCCGGGCACUGCUCCCUGAAAUUCUGGUCCCAACCCCUCCCUGCUAAAAGAUUUGCUAACAGAUGCAGCGUGUUACUCCUUGCAUGGGGAAACAUGGCAGGUUUUAACGUGAGGAGCAAGGUGAAAUUGUACAGUGAAGCAACACUUGUGGAAGAUUUAUUGUUCUGGGUGGUUCUGUGAAGCAGAUGUUUGGAUGAACGGUAGUGUAAGUUAUUAGCUUAUGAGGGCUAAAAAAAAAAAUAAAAAAAUGGGAAAGCAUUCACACCCUUUUUGAAUUCUAUGCUUGCAAAGGUUCAGCCAAAUGAAAAGCUACAAUAAACAAAUCUGAAUCGAAUCUACAUGGAUGGGUGGGACUUUUCUGGCGAGAUCAUCAUAACUCUCAAAACACUAUUUUGCAGCAAUAGACCAUGCAAGAGUAAUGAUAAAAGCUCCUCAGAGAGUUUUGAGCGCACGGUGAAACAAUCCAAAGCAGCGCUGGAUGGGUGAAAAGGGAGUGGCUUCUGUGUGGAUUGCCUAAAAAAACUUUCUAAAAGUGUACUAUACUCUUAUGUGUGUUAUUUGCAGCUGAAAGAGAACAAAACCUUAACAAGCCUCAAAAGUGGAUAUUGCUGGAGCUUUGUAAAUCUAACAGAAAGCCAGUUUAGAGACAAAUAAUCUACAGUUUCUUCUUUCAUCUUUUUCAGAACAUUCACCACCCUCUUGUAUGGUCAACACACACUGUGACUUCUUGCAGCCACCCACGUAACGAAAUCUCAAGGAAACGGCAAAGGAAGUGUGCUGAAGACCAGUUUCCUUUAAUUUCACACUGAAGAGUAUUAAAAACAGCACUGCUCUCAUUGCUGCUGUCAAUCAGCAGCACCCAAAGAGUGCGUGCAGCUGUAUCUGAUGUAGCGCGUAGACCAAUAUCUUGACAUAAGUCAAGGUUCCCAGCAGUCAUGAGACAUGGCUCACUAAAGACUAUUUUUUCCAUGCAGAUGUCACAUUAAACCAACUCAGCAUUAGAAAGGCAGACAAGCGCAUAUGGAGACAAACAGUACCCACCCAAGGCCACAAAGAGGCCGUUUUAACUGACAAGCAUUUCAGCAUCUAACAGCUGGGAACAAAACAUAUUACGACCUGAUAAGUGAAUUAUUAUGUUAAUUUAAAGUUCACACCUUCACAGUUAUUUCCUAACCAAUCUAAUAAUUUUUUAUUUGAUUAAAAGGAGUACCCUUACGCAACACAAUGCCUAAAAAUACAUUUUAGCUCAAUUUGGCUCUAUAAGCAGUGCAUGUUACAAUCAAUCAACUUGACAAGAGCAAUUAAAAACAUGCCAGACAUUUACUGCUGCGGGGCACUAAACGUUGGUUCGACGUACGUGGUAGAAAACAGUGUACAGGGUGGUGCGAAAAGCAGCUCAGAGUUUUGGGUGUGGCAGGAGGGAGUUGCGGAGGACAGGCGACUGUACUUUGCCAAAUCUAACUUCUAACUAAGGUUCAGCAAACAAUUAUGUGUUAUUUUUUCUGUCCUUUUUUCACAACUCAAACAGUGUUUCAUUAUAUUCAUGAUUGAAACAUUAAGUGGCAAUACAUGUUUUGAAAAGCACAAAAUAUAAGGUGAUAACAUAAUGAUGUUUGAAAACUUCUGUCAGUUUUUGGAUUUCUGAGAAAAAAAACCGUUUUCCCUCAUUCUUCCAACGUGCUAAGCCUCUGCUCCCCCUUUCUAUGCCUCAAACCUGGUUUCAAUUAGCUUGUCUUUCCAAACCACUACAUUCCAUAACUCCCCUCCUCACCCCAGAACCACCCAUCCCCCUCUCACCAACACGCUUACUGACUCUCUUUCCCUGUCUUCCUACCAUCUUUUCCCCCCACAUACCCUGGCAUGGAGCCCAGGUUAAGUAACCCAAGGUAUGGGGAAAAUAAGGAGAAAUCGUCCUCUGUCCAAUACUUACAAACGAGUAAGUCAUAAAAGAUUUACAUGCGUCACGGCUGCAGGGGUUUAACGUUUCUACCGUAUGAAAUAAAGUACAUAUUUGGUCAAGAAAAAAAAAA